rnacentral:lncRNA from 1 species
AGAAAUAUGUAUAUAUAUUAUAUAUUAAUGCAUAUAUAAGUUUGGAGAUAAUUAUAAAAAUGAUAGUAAAUAAUAUGAUAAUAAUAAAUAAUGGUACAAUGAUAAUAGCAUAAAAAAAUAAAAAUAACUAAAAAAUGGACUCAAUUGAACUAAACGGAAAAAAAAGUGGGGCAGAUUUGAAAUAAAUUAAAGAAACAACUUGAAUGCGCAAGCAAUAAUGGAGGACCAAAAGAGAAAUUAU